rnacentral:misc_RNA from 1 species
UUUUUUUUUUUUUUUUUUUUCUAUUUUUUCCGUUUAGAUCCUUAUCCCCACCCCCAUGUUUACUUUCUUUCUUUAAAUGAUCAGGAAAAUUCGCAACAUAAUUAGAAAACACUAACUUCAAUCAAAGACUGAAUAAUCAGCUUGAGCAAGUUAGUCAUCAGAUGGGCAUGAGUCCUUGCAGGCAAGAGGUUUGGGUUUCGUGGAAUCCCCUUUCUGGUAGAAGCUUUAAGGUGAAUAGUAAUGGAGCUGUGCAGACUAAUAAAAAUGCCUAUGGUGAAGGUUUAAUCAGGGACUCUUGUGGGAAUUGUGUAGGAGGUUUGGUGACCAACUGGGGGUGUUCAAUGCAUGGCAAAGAUAAGGGCUCCUUACAGGGGGCUGCUUUUAGCCAGAAGGUUAAAUGUUGAGAACUUGCGGGUUGAUUGUGAUGGUCAAACUGUUGUGGAGUCGAUCUAAAGUUGUACAGAUCCUCCUGGCAGUGUGAGAACUUUGCUUUCUGCGGUGAAGGAUUUGCUGCAGAGUUAUCGGAGGUUGAAGGUGGAUAAUGUGUGGAGGAAAGCAAACUUUAAUGCCGACUUCCUUGCUUCGUUUGCUUCGAAUUUUUCAGUGGAAGUUCAUGAAUUGGUGUAGACUCCUCAAGAUCUCUGCUUUUGGCUUCGGCAUGUCCAGUGUGGCAUUGCGUACCUGCGGGCUUGUUUGGUUUAGUGUUGUGUUUUGAGCUUUGAUACUCCCCUUUUGUUGGCCCCCCACGAAAAAAACACUGACCAAUCAGCACAAACAGUUCAAACAUACUAAAAUAUUAACAUAUAGAAUCAUAAAAGAUGUAAAUAAUUCUCCCAAUUAUUUAAAUAUUUUGCCCUUCUAAAAGAACCUUUGACUUUGCAAUCAUAUGAUCAUAUUUUUGUCUCCAUUGUUUGAAGAAGUGUAACGAGACCAUUGCUUGCCCAAGCAAUAAGCAUUGUUUUUUUCUCAAAAGCAGUAAGCAUUGUUUUAGAUAAAUUUCAUCUUUUGAUAUAACAUACGCUUUACUUUUCUAGCCAGAGCAUCAAGCAUUGUUUUAGAGCAUCAAAAUAAGAGCGAUCUUGUUCUAUAUAUGGAAGUGUGCUCUUUGGUAGAGCUUCAUACCUAGAUGAUAAUAUUUUGCUACUUGAUUCCUUUAAACUUCAAAAUUCAUGAGAUAAAUGUUUUAAGGCCAAAAAAGCCUAGAUAUCAAUUUGGCAAUAGACCAUGAACAUUCUCACGUCUGUUCCAAAAUCCAAACAAACUAAAAAGAACAAAAAGACAAUACAGCUACCCCAGUACAAAACCUAAAAACGACUCUUAUAUAAGUAAGAUCUCAAUUUAACUAUUCCACCUUGCCCCCACCACCAAGAAGCAUACCACUUAUGUGUUGCUGGGAUACAUGAAGACUCUAACCCUGUCUCCCUGUUAAAUAAAAAAAAAUGCAUAAAACUUAUUCAUAACCAAAUUUCACAGGCCAAAUGCGCAAAUUCCAAUUACCAUAGAUCUGGGAGGGAGGUUAGACUUGAACUUGGCACGAACAACACCACUGUUACCGUGCGGCCUAGUGACUUUGCCCCAAAUGCAGCGAUAGUGGGUACCAUUCUUCUUAACCUUAGCCUUGUAUACAUAGGCCAUACGCUUACCACAGUACCAAUUUACCUCCUCCUUGGUGUUCACGCCCUCGAUCUGUAUCAGAGACGUGUUUGGGUACUGGUUCGACUUGGACCUCUUGUAUCCGAGAAUAGUUCCUCGAACAUAGAGUCUGCGAAAAACAAACUAGAACAAUUGAGCAUGGGCUUCAAAAGAGUAUACCCAAACUGUGAAAGAAUAUUCAUGGAAGAGAUGGUUCAGGACCUGACAUUCUCUCCUUGGCGGCUCUUCACCAUUUUCGGCUCCGGCUGAGGCUCUGCUUCUGGAGUGCGGGAACGAUAACCCUAGCAGCACACGGAAGAGAGUGAAACAGUAGG